rnacentral:misc_RNA from 1 species
GAUGAAGAACGUAGCGAAAUGCGAUAAGUAAUGUGAAUUGCAGAAUUCAGUGAAUCAUCGAAUCUUUGAACGCACAUUGCGCCCGUCGGCACUCCGGCGGGCAUGCCUGUCCGAGCGUCAUUUCAACCCUCAGGACCCCCUUCCGGGGGGGACCUGGCGCUGGGGAUCAGCGGCCUCCGGGCCCCUGUCCCCCAAAUGCAGUGGCGGUCGCGCCGCAGCCUCCCCUGCGUAGUAGCACACCUCGCACCGGAGAGCGGCUCGGCCACGCCGUGAAACCCCCAAUUUUUCAAGGUUGACCUCGGAUCAGGUAGGAAUACCCGCUGAACUUAAGCAUAUCAAUAAGCGGAGGA